GAUGAACGCUAGCGGCAGGCUUAAUACAUGCAAGUCGAGGGGCAGCAUGGUGUAGCAAUACACUGAUGGCGACCGGCAAACGGGUGCGGAACACGUACAGAACCUUCCUUCGAGCGGGGAAUAGCCCAGAGAAAUUUGGAUUAAUACCCCAUAGUAUAUUGGAGUGGCAUCACUUUAGUAUUAAAGAUUUAUCACUUGAAGAUGGCUGUGCGGCUGAUUAGGUAGUUGGCGGGGUAACGGCCCACCAAGCCUGCGAUCAGUAACUGGUGUGAGAGCACGACCAGUCACACGGGCACUGAGACACGGGCCCGACUCCUACGGGAGGCAGCAGUAAGGAAUAUUGGUCAAUGGACGAAAGUCCGAACCAGCCAUGCCGCGUGGAGGAUGAAGGUCCUCUGGAUUGUAAACUUCUUUAUAUGGGACGAAAAAAGGGCUUUCUAGCUCGUCUGACGGUACCAUAUGAAUAAGCACCGGCUAACUCCGUGCCAGCAGCCGCGGUAA
rnacentral:rRNA from 1 species